rnacentral:lncRNA from 1 species
GUCUGCCCAGCUGCUGGACUCCCCAGCGCCCCUGGCCGGGCACCUGCAGAGCAGAACGUGUUCCCACCACGCUGCUGCUGGGGACCCCACGACCAGGUUUCUGCCACAGAAUGAGGCCGGUGGCUGUGAGCCCUUAAGCCCUUGGUCCGAGGAGCAAGUUCAGGCUUUGACAAGAGUGUCACCAUGUCCUCAGGAAAGUGCUGUUCAUGUGGGGCCAAGGACCAUCUUGCAAGCUUUUGUUACCAGAACUUUCAUCAAAAACCCUCGUUCUGGCCCACGGGAGGCCACCUGUGCGGACGGACACAGAAGACCUCCACCAAUCACCUGAGCGUUCCUCAUGACCCCUGACGGUGAAUGCCACGUGCGAGGGUUUGCCGCCACGUACUCGUGACUUUGAGCCAGCCGGCCUCCGUGUGGUGUUUGGGAGUGUGCACCUGUGCUCAGGUGUGUCCAGCAGUGAACGUUGUGAACCAGACUUGUGGGUCAUCGGUCAGGCGGCCGCCCCUCUCCUGCAGUGCCCGUUCCCAGCAAAGGCUGCCUGGGAAGGAGGAAGAGAGCACUUUCCAGAGACUCAGCAAAGAGGAAGUGCCCUGGACACGCGGCCUAAGAGCGCUCCCAGGACGCGGGCAUUCACCCAGCAAGGUGUUGGGGUCAGGAGAUUGCUCUUGCCCUUGGGUCCGCGUCACUGGCUGAAGCCCCAGAGAGACCCCGGGGUGGCCUCUAGUGAGGCCCGGUCACCCGCAGCGGCUGGGAUUCCAUUCUCAUCAGUCAACACGGGGAAGGUGGGGAGCCGCUUCUCUGCAGGGGCGGGGGCGUGAGGAGGGAAGGGGGGGAAAGCCACUUCUCCAACACGAUGAGGGGGUCUCCAGGUGGUCUCUGGCUUAACGGGUCAGUUUAAGUUUUAAGGAAACUCCACACACAUCGUCUAGCCGUUUCUCUGAAAACAUAAAAGCUUAUUUGCAAAGCUUUAAGACAGGGCAGUACUUCUUCUGUUGUUAUUGGAGCCUCACAUGGUUUUCCACGCACAGACCACUUCAGCCACGCCUCGGCUAGGGCUCCAGCUUCUGUGUUAUUAAAGCGGACUGAGGACACAGGAUGCUUGUGGAACAGCCUGGGGCCAGAAUCCCACUGCUUAUGGAUGCCCCUCUACACCUGACCUGACAGUUUUUUA